UCCAUGAUCUAAUCCUAUCACAAUACUGGCCAAUUGAAGAUUUCCCUAAAUAAAUUUCAAGUUUUGACAUUAAUUUGUCAAGAAGACAAAUCUAUACUAUUGUUUGCCAAACUUAUUUUAAUUGCAUUGAUAUAAAAUCGAAACUAUGUGGUUUAAUAUUAUUCCACCAAUGGCAAUAAUAAUUGCCAGUUUGGGACUUCCAGGUGCAGGGCUUUAUUGGCUACAUUACUUAGUUUUAGGGAAUCACUUCAGACGCACUAUGAUUCAACGUUGGGAUCGCAUUGCAUACCAGCGAGAUCAAAGAAUUACUGG